GCUUUAUAAUAUCUUUCACUACAAGGCAAGAGUUGGCUUCAGGUCAAGUGUUGCUUACGCCACGGCUUGAGUAUUAAAAUGUAUGUGUAGCAGUUCGUUAUGAGAGCUAUCACUGUACACACGGUAGGCGCAUGUAGCGUAUAUCGUAAAGAAUGCGUUGUCGAGCGACCUGCCCCUCAAAAGUACACCAGCCCUGAGCUCGACUGAAUGCCAAAUGGUCUCAAAUGAACCACAUUUGCGCACGUUCCAUUGACACUCGUCGCGGUGGCAUUAGAAGGCAGCACCACAAGCCACCAACAUCAGAGUCAGAGUUAGCUUCAGCUUCAGCGGCGCGGCUCGGCUCAGGUAACCAUUAGCUGGUUACUUGACUCGUGUUGAGGUUAUAAACGGUGGCUGUCACCCAAACGUAUCGAUUGGAGGCCGCACAUACACACACACACACACACACACACACUGGCGCCUCAUGGCACAUUUAAUGACACACAGGCGGCAAAAAGACCUGACCGCAGCGCAAUUUGAGGCGACGCGUGGACAUGACAGCUUAUCAGCUGCUAAAAAAUAAUAACAAAAAAUAAAACAAAAACAACAACAUUGCGUCAGGCAAAGUCGAGCCGAGCUGAGGCUGAGGCAAUGGGCACGGCGCAUGGCUGUGCGCCCCCUCGUGUCGCAUGCGCUGCUAAUGUUGAUGAUAUAGCCAACAUUUAAAAUAAACCAAAAAUAAACAAAAAAAAAAAAGGCAUAAAACAGGCAAAAUAAUACUCUAGGCAAUAAUGCUCGACUAGAGGUUACCCAGGCAAGUAGCCCAGUGUAAUGUAUAAUACAUUUUAGUAUAUACAAAAAACUACUUCAGAUUUGAGUAAAAUAUUGAAUAUAUCGAAAUAAUAUGCUUUAAUAUUUGUAUACCAAAAAAAUAUCAAAGUUGUGGUCAGAAAAGCAAGCCUUUUUUAUUGACGUUAUGAGAAAUAGAAUUAUGUAUAUGGAUAAGUCAGAUCGACAUUUUCAUACAUACGAACAUUGUCCUGUCCUGUCGUAUAUAAUGUAAAGAUGCUUCCUUCUGCCUGUGCUACAUACUUUUAAGCAAAAUCAUGAUACCCUUUCUAGCCAUUUUUAAAAAUCGUUUCUUUUGUUGGCUUUUUAUAUUAAAGCAAACUUGGACCGACGACAUUUUGAAAUCACAUGUUAUUGUUCCAAACAAAAAAGAAAAAAAAACCAUAUAUAUCUCAUAAUAUAGGAUAUACCCUAUACAUAUACUCUACAUGAAUCAAGCGUUAAUAAUUAAUAGAUUUGAUAACGUUAUGACGUCGUAUUUUGAAUGGUUUACAAAAUUAAUUUGCCCAUUGUUUGCGCUUGUAAUUCGCAACCAAUUCUAGAACAGGCUUGAACUAGUUGGAUGUAACUGUUAAUCCAAUUGGAAUACAACAAAUAUUUAAGGUGUCAUGGAAAAACAUGAUGAGUUAACGCCAACUGUACAACUUUGUAACAUUCAAGUGUUAAAAGCAGAACUUGUUAAGUAGAUAAUUUAUAAGUGAUUUAUAUGAUACAUCAUAUUCAAAACUUAUGUGUGUAUCAACUACAAAUUACAUCGACUAUUUAUCAUUCGAUAAUUUCAAAUGCAAAUGUGAAUUCGGAUGUUAUUUGUAUUUGGCAAUUCAUUUUCACUUUUAAAAUAUUUGCCAUAGGAACUUUUUGGGUGAAAAUAAAAAAUCCAUAAUACAAAUUAAAUAAAGUGAUGGAAAUUUUGAAGCAAUUGAGUUUCGCAAUGUCAAAAGAUAUGAUAAUAAUGGAUUAAGGUUGAA